rnacentral:lncRNA from 1 species
AGCUACAAUGUUUUGUCAUUAUUCACUCUGAUGUGAAAAAGGCAGUGAAUUUAAUAGAAAAUAACUUCGUAGAGCAAAAUCUCAGGUGUGUUUUUUUAGUGCCGCAGUCUUGGAUGAUGGGUUCCUAGAAGCUCUCAACAUCUCUUCUUAAUUGGAGAAAGUGUUAAGCCCCAAAGUAGCUGGAGCAGUACAUCUUCAAUUUUUGACAAGAAAGCAGGAACUUGAUUACUUUGAGUGCUAUUCAUUAGUUUCUGCUUUCAUUGAGAAUGCAACAAAAGCCAACUAGGCUGCUGCUAACUCCUUGCUGGACUUCUUCUGCCACUGUCACAGGAACUGUAAUCUCACUGGACAAUUAACUAGGGAGUCUUUCAUCUUGAGUGACUGCUGCACAAAUGAUCUUCAAAGCAUUUUAGCCACCAGAGGAAUUCUCUUGAAAUACCCAAAAUCCAUCAGUAUCUUGAAUCAUGCUGGAUUUUGAAGAAUUCUUAACAAGCCAUGUAAAGGGGGCUCUCUGGCCUUGAAAUAGUGAUGUUUUUUAUACAGAAAGGAGAAUGCAGAAUGGUCAGACUACCAUGCACUGUUAAAUUUGAUUUCAAGAAAUUACAGGAAAACUUUCCAAAGUUCCAUCUCACAGAAAUUAUUUUUACAAAGAAUUCCAAGAUAAGUUUAGUUUUAUGGAAGACUUUUAUGUGGUUUUUACUCACUCUUCAUCUCAGACAUCAACAGAUGAUUACAUCACUUAUUUAGCUAGUAAAUUUAUUAAUAUAAAAACUCAGAGACAUUCCAAUAUCCACAUUGCUUACACCAUUAGUCAUAGAUUCAGUGUCAGCUAUGACAAUUGAAAAUAAGCUGUUUUGUGAUUUAAAGGUUUAAAUUUCUCUAACCAAACUGCUUGAUCCAGAUGCAGGACUGCAAAUGUUAAUAUUUGUUCUGGAAGAACAAUCAAAUAAGACUUAAGAGGAAAAGGAAUGGCCACAAUCCACCUGAAAUUUUUUUUUAAAAAGUGUGCAGCCUACUAAAUCAGAAUGAAAAUAGAAGUACAAGAUUAUAAACAAAAUGCAAUCAAACUUUUCUUAAGCUUACCUAAAGUUAUUUCAUCUGAAAAUUUCAAGCAACUUUGUUCAACAUUAAAUUGACAAUCUAAACUAACAAGUCUUUUGAAUUUAUGCAUGGUAGUAAACAUUCUCUCUAUUAACUUUAUUACCUAAGGCUAAACCUAAAAUUUUUAAGCAAAAUUAGAAAAAUAGUCUUCACUCAUCAAAAAAUAAAGUUUGUUACAUUUAGUAUUUUCCCAAUAAAAUUGGUCGUUCUUGGUUUUUUAUUUGGAGAGUCUGUGCAAAAUGUCACUAAAAAUAAAUUAGCACUAGAAAUUAUUUCUAAAUACCAAA